rnacentral:lncRNA from 1 species
CUUCUCCACAUAAGAUGAGCAAACAGAUUGGAGACAAAAGUUUUGGGACAUAAACCAAUUUGUUCUAAGAAGAAUUUGAAGCAGUUUUUUAAAUACAUGAAUAUAGGGCUUCUCCACAUAAGAUGAGCAAACAGAUUGGAGACAAAAGUUUUGGGACAUAAACUAAUUUGUUCUAAGAAGAAUUUGAAGCAGUUUUUUAAAUAUAUGAAUAUCGGGCUUCUCCACAUAAGAUGAGCAAACAGAUUGGAGACAAAAGUUU